rnacentral:rRNA from 1 species
GGGGGCUCGCGUUUUUCACACAAACACCCUUUGUAAACGUCUCGUAGAAUGUCCUCAUUUUGUUUGCGUUGACGCGCGAUCAAUACAACUUUCAACAACGGAUCUCUUGGCUCUCGCAUCGAUGAAGAACGCAGCGAAAUGCGAUACGUAAUGUGAAUUGCAGAAUUCAGUGAAUCAUCGAAUCUUUGAACGCACCUUGCGCCCCUUGGUAUUCCGAGGGGCACACCCGUUUGAGUGUCGUGAAAAUCUCAACCUCCUAGGUUUUUUUUAAGAAGGUUGGAAUUUGGARGGGUUUGCUGGACUUUAAAAGGCCCCCYCCUUUCAAACRAAUUACCGGGGUCCCCUUUGCCAAUCCYCGACGKGGGAUAAGACCUUCCCCGUCUCGGUUUUUGGSUUSGUUSCCUUYUGGGRCCCGCUUUCCAUUGUUUUUUCUACGAGACAACGUUCGAGCUCGCCUCGACCACGUACCCUUGACCUCAAAUCGGGUGAGACUACCCGCUGAACUUAAGCAUAUCAAUAAGCGGAGGAAAAGAAACUAACGAGGAUUCCCCUAGUAACUGCGAGUGAAGCGGGAAAAGCUCAAAUUUAAAAUCUGRCGGUCCUUGGCCGUCCGAGUUGUAAUUUAGAGAAGCGUCUUCCGCGCCGGACCGUGCACAAGUCUCCUGGAAUGGAGCGUCGUAGAGGGUGAGAAUCCCGUCUUUGGCACGGAUCCCCGGUGCUUCUGUGAUGCGCUCUCGAAGAGUCGAGUUGUUUGGGAAUGCAGCUCAAAAUGGGUGGUGAACUCCAUCUAAAGCUAAAUAUUGGCGAGAGACCGAUAGCGAACAAGUACCGUGAGGGAAAGAUGAAAAGCACUUUGGAAAGAGAGUGAAACAGUACGUGAAAUUGUUGAAAGGGAAACGCUUGAAGUCAGUCGCGUCGACCGAGACUCAGCCUCGCCUUGGCUUGGUGUACUUCUCGGCCCGACGGGUCAGYRUCGAUUUCGUCUCUCGGAAAAUGGCAAGGGAAAGGUGGCACCUUUGCGGGUGUGUUAUAGUCUCCUGUCGCACGCGAGGGGUUAGAUCGAGGAACUCAGCACGCGCCUUUUGGUGUCGGGGCUUCGGCCCACGUAACGUGCUUAGGAUGCUGGCGUAAUGGCUUUAAACGACCCGUCUUGAAACACGGACCAAGGAGUCCAACAUGCCCGCGAGUGUUCGGGUGGAAAACCCGUGCGCGUAAUUAAAGUGAAAGUUGGGACCUCUGUCGUGGAGGGCACCGACGCCCGGACCAGACCUUCUGUGACGGAUCUGCGGUAGAGCGUGUAUGUUGGGACCCGAAAGAUGGUGAACUAUGCCUGAAUAGGGUGAAGCCAGAGGAAACUCUGGUGGAGGCUCGUAGCGAUUCUGACGUGCAAAUCGAUCGUCAAAUUUGGGUAUAGGGGCGAAAGACUAAUCGA